rnacentral:snoRNA from 1 species
CCACUCGGGGAGGGAGAGCUCAUCUCCUUCAUCGUUGCAGGCCUGGACAUGGAUUAUCAUCCAAUCAUCUCUGCCCUCGACGUGUGUACUGAACCUGUCACCAUCGAUGCUCUUUUCUCUCUGGUGGCGAACUUCGACC